rnacentral:rRNA from 1 species
AACGAACGCUGGCGGCGCGCCUAACACAUGCAAGUCGAGCGAGAACGGUGCCUUCGGGUGCUUAGUAAAGCGGCGCAUGGGUGAGUAACACGUGGGUAAUCUGCCCUUGAGUGGGGGAUAACUGUCCGAAAGGACAGCUAAUACCGCAUAAGACCACAGGGUCUCCGGAUCCAGAGGUCAAAGGGGGUCGUCUUCGGGCGGCACUCGCUUAAGGAUGAGCCCGCGGUCCAUUAGGUUGUUGGUGGGGUAAUGGCCUACCAAGCCUUCGAUGGAUAGCUGGUCUGAGAGGAUGAUCAGCCACACUGGAACUGAGACACGGUCCAGACUCCUACGGGAGGCAGCAGUGGGGAAUUUCGCGCAAUAGGCGAAAGCCUGACGCAGCGACGCCGCGUGGGUGACGAAGGCCUUCGGGUCGUAAAGCCCUGUCAAGGGGGAAGAACGGCAUGGGAGUAAUGUUUCAUGUUUGACGGUACCCCUGAAGGAAGCACUGACUAACUCCGU